AGGACGAACGCUGGCGGCGUGCUUAACACAUGCAAGUCGAGCGGUAAGGCCUUUCGGGGUACACGAGCGGCGAACGGGUGAGUAACACGUGGGUGAUCUGCCCUGCACUUCGGGAUAAGCCUGGGAAACUGGGCCUAAUACCGGAUAUGACCUCAGGUUGCAUGACUUGGGGUGGAAAGAUUUAUCGGUGCAGGAUGGGCCCGCGGCCUAUCAGCUUGUUGGUGGGGUAAUGGCCUACCAAGGCGACGACGGGUAGCCGACCUGAGAGGGUGACCGGCCACACUGGGACUGAGACACGGCCCAGACUCCUACGGGAGGCAGCAGUGGGGAAUAUGCACAAUGGGCGAAAGCCUGAUGCGGCGACGCCGCGUGAGGGAUGACGGCCUUCGGGUUGUAAACCUCUUUCAGCAGGACGAAGCGCAAGUGACGGUACCUGCAGAAGAAGCACCGGCUAACUACGUGCCAGCAGCCGAC
rnacentral:rRNA from 1 species